ACCGUGAUCAAGAAGGCGGUUCACCCAGGGCGAGGCUCAGCCAUUGCACUCCGGCUGUGAUGACCCCUGCGAAUUUCCCAAAUGUGGAAAUCUCGAUUGCAUAAUUUAUGGUAGUGGGGGACUGCGUUCGCGCUCUCCCCUG
rnacentral:snRNA from 8 species